rnacentral:rRNA from 1 species
GCACGCCUAACACAUGCAAGUCGAGCGAGGUAGCAAUACCUAGCGGCAGACGGGUGAGUAACAUGUGGGAAUCUGCCUUUUGGUUCGGAAUAACACGAGGAAACUUGUGCUAAUACCGUAUGUGCCCUUCGGGGGAAAGAUUUAUCGCCAAAGGAUUGGCCCGCGUUGGAUUAGGUAGUUGGUAGGGUAAUGGCCUACCAAGACUGUGAUCAAUAGCUGAUUUGAGAGGAUGAUCAGCCACAUUGGGACUGAGACACGGCCCAAACUCC